UUUUCAUCUGUUUGGCACCUGAUGAUGGAUGCUGGUGGUUCUUGUGUUUGCGAUUGAUGAUUGAAGGCGGAGGCGAGCAGGGAGAGGUGGAAGAUGGCCUAUGUCGAGCUGGCUCCCGGUGCCAACCCCAAGCUCGCCGGUAAGAGCAAUCUCUCCACCUCUUCUCUCUUUUGGAUGAAUGAUCUGGUUAAAAAAAUUGGCAUAAAUUCCCCAUUGUGGUUCAAUCCCUUUGUCAAUGUAGCUUUAUGGCUUGCUCAAUGACAAUUCGGUUGUCAUUUUAACAUCUAAUACAAUCAAGUGCCGAAUUACGGUUGAGUUAUGCUGCUGCUACUGAUAAUUUUGUGUGCAAUGCAGAACUUCAAGAGCACGACCUAGUGGAUUCCCAAGCCGGCGAAGAAGCACUUCAUGACGUGGAUACCUCUCAACUGAAGGUAUACUUACUGAAACCUCCAUAGUGAAGGUAACAACAGGUUUCUUUUCUGCCAUUGUUGGAUGCUAGCAAAGUUGAAGGUCUAGCAUGUGUCUGAUAUUUGUGUCUCAAAGCAAAUAGUAGGUCAUCUAUAUAAUUGAAUUCCAAAAGAUGAAGAAUGAAACAUCGGCAAGAGGAGAAAAAGAAGAAUAUCACUGGUUUGAGAAAUGAGACUCAAGUAUUCGGUGAACCCAUACAGUAGAAGUGUGUUCUCUAUAUUUAUUAGGACAAAACAAAAAUACAUGGAAGUAGAAUGAAGAAACAACCAUGUCUCUCCAGAGAAAAAAUAGUAAAUAGACACUAAGUUGACAAAUAUUGUCUGAGGUAAAAUAAUACCGAACAUUGUCAUGUUCACAACCUCAGAACCGUAGGAAGCUCUGCAUUAUUUGCCCCUCCCUCGUGGCACUUUGUUCAACAGGUUAUCUCUAACCCGAAACGGCACCCGAGGCAUGCUUAUAGCAAAAUCGACGGAAGCAUAAUUUAGUUAGAUGUAACUUAUCCAUUUGUUCGAUAAAAUCAAUUUGAUCAGCAAUGUGGAGAAGCAAAAUGGUUGCCAUAAUAUAUUUUCACUAAUUUAUUUCGAACAAACCUUGCUGGCAGCAGAGGUGAGAGGUACCUGUGUUGGCAUGAGUUCACUGAAGUUGCUUUCAAUUUUAAUUAACUUUGUGUUCAGAGCGUAAUUUAAAAUCAAGCUAGACAUGUUUACAUAUGGACCAAGUAGUUUAGCAAACUGUGAAUUUGUAUUGAAAAAAUCUGGAUCAUAGCAAGAUGGUUGCCAAUUAGUAUAGAGGUCGAAGGCGUAUUGAUUCUGAAAAUUCAUGUAAGUGAUGAAGACGCAUGCUAACCAUGUAGGACAAUUGUAUGUGUUUAUCAUGGUCAUACAUUUCUACGGCAAGGAGGGUCGCGACGGCCGCUCAGCAAGAAACGCCGCGGACGACCGUGGCCGUACAUAUCUCCAACAAUAUUUGUAUUAUAUAAAAAUAGAAUACCAAACCAUAGUAAAAUUUGAAGUGAGACGCCAUAUUAUUAUUGACCAUUCAAAAUAGUAAAAAUAUUUCAAUAGGAAUAGUUCUGCAUCGAUUUGUAUUUUAUUCAGACUCGAACUGGGUAAUAAGUUAUUUGAGUUUCAUUAGAUGUUCUACUUUACAGGUUAAAUUUUAUACCUAAGAAACUACAGGAACGUCCUUCUUUCUCAUUUGCUAAUAAUAUUUGUGUAUAUGAUGCCAAAUGUCUACCUGCUGAAAGCAACAUGGGGCAAUAUGGUGAGUGGAAUUAUGUGAUGCAUGUAGAAAAUAGAAUACGAGCAGACAACAGGUUAUUUGCAUGUAAAAUAAAUCCUAUAAAACUAUUAUUUCUAGGAUUUUAGCACCCUGCCGUACAGAAGCAACAUUCCGUGUAUUUUUUGCUUCCCUUGCUCUAAACAUCGUUACUCCCUUCAAGGCCGAAGCGCGGUCCAUUAAGACCAUGUUUUCCUUUGUUUUAAUAUUUUGUUGUUACUAUUAUUACUAUGUCAUAUGAUCUUUGACAGCAUUUCCCUGUGGACUCACGUAUUCACCAUAUGACAUCAUGUAUUGUUUUCCUUUGCUUAUUUAUAACAUAUGCUUGUCUUUAUUAUUUUCAUGUGUUCGGCCAUCUUAUAGUUUUCCUUUGCUUAUUUAUAAUGUAUGCUUGUUGUAUGUGCUUUCGCUCGCAAUUUAUUAGAGCAUAUGCUUGUUUCUGUAGCGUUUUAUCCAUGUCUAAUUAAAUCUUGAUCCUGUAGUACUUGCUGUUUGAGAAAUAGACAUUGAGGAUCACUUUUACAUAUAUUUUAUAAACCCUGUUGGGAUGCUUUCAGGAGAUACUGAACAUAAUUCCUGACCCGUGACAACAGUUUUUUUGCCUUAACUCCAUCUCAGAGAUCUACCUUCUAUCAACAGGUAUCUAUCAAUCCCUUCUACUUGCAAGACAGAAAUAAUAUAUGUAGUUCAAAUGGUGAAAUCCAUAUAAGUUUUAAGAUUAUGUCCUGUUAAUUGUUCCAUUUGCUAAAGAGAGGAUAACUUAAAACUACUAUGGAGCUGAUGUAAAUUUAGUUGGCCACAAUGGAUCAUAAGUUUAUUCCUUACUACAUAUAUAGGCCAGUUAAUCUUAAUUUAGUGCAAGCUAAUAUACUCUAUAGAUUGGAGUGCUGAUGAGUCACCCAAAAGGUGUUUGCAUUCAUGCAGUAACUUUCAAACUGAUACCUACAUUAUAUUGUAUCUUUUUAUUUUKGAAUGUGUGCACAUGAAUUUUAGAUGGAAAUUUAUCGUCAUGGGCUGGGAAGAUAAUGGAGACUUCUACACAUGUUCCUUCGUUCCUCCAGAGAAAUAAAGAAGAUAUGGAAGCUGGGGCUUCAAUUGUAUCACCCACACUUAGUAUACUCACAUGGAUAUAGUUAUAAGUCAAAUCACAUACACAUAUUGUGCUCAUUUCACAAUGUAAUGUAGGACUAGUUAACUGUUAGUCAUUGUAACAUGUUUGACUGAGAUAAAGCUUCAUUGCACCUUUCAUUCUCCUUAUGUGCUCAUUUUAGUAAUAGUUACUAGGUUCUAGGGCUAGAGUUGUAACUAGAUGAAGCUUCAUUGUAACUAGAUUUGUAGUGGAGUUGAAGGCCGAACUAUUUUAUGUGGUGCAUGUUUGUAAAGUUUCUACAAUGAUGCUUAUUGCUUAAAUGACCGGGACUAUUUAACAUAAUGUUUUUUCGUCGGAAUUAUCUACGAUGCCUAGUGUAUGAAAACUGUGCAAAAAUAAGGCCUAGUCCUAGAUAAAAAUAGUAAUGGGCUGAAAUAUUAAAUAUUGAUCUGAAUUCUUGGGCCUGGCCCAUUUAGGUGUCUGAUUUGGAUUGGGCUAGUAAAAUUGUGACCUUAUUUUUCAGUCAGUGGUGAUCCGCCACAUCAUCAGCUUAGCCACAUGGCUGAUGCCAUGUUAGCUCCUACGUGGUUCAGGUACACAUGUA
rnacentral:lncRNA from 1 species